rnacentral:RNase_P_RNA from 1 species
GGGGUCGGUCGGCGGUCGUCGAAGGUCUGCGGACCUUUGGAGGAAAGUCCGAGCUCCACAGGGCAGGGCGCCGGGUAACACCCGGAGGGGGUAACCCCUGGAAAGUGCCACAGAAAACAGACCGCCUCGGGUUUUACACCCAGGGUAAGGGUGAAAAGGUGGGGUAAGAGCCCACCGCUCCUCCUGGCAACAGGGGGAGGCACGGUAAACCCCGCCCGGAGAAAGGCCAUGUAGGGGAGCGCUUGAGGGUGGCCCGCCCGAUGCUCCCGGGUAGGCCGCUAGAGCGGCUGGGUAACCAGUCGCCCAGAGGAAUGACCGCCACCCGCAAGGGUACAGAACUCGGCUUAUGACCGGCCCCCCCU